AACCUGCCUUGGAGAGGGGAAUAACACUCCGAAAGGAGUGCUAAUACCGCAUGAUGCAGUUGAGUCGCAUGGCUCUGACUGCCAAAGAUUUAUCGCUCUGAGAUGGCCUCGCGUCUGAUUAGCUAGUAGGCGGGGUAACGGCCCACCUAGGCGACGAUCAGUAGCCGGACUGAGAGGUUGACCGGCCACAUUGGGACUGAGACACGGCCCAG
rnacentral:rRNA from 1 species